AGUGAACGCUGGCGGUAGGCCUAACACAUGCAAGUCGAACGGCAGCACAGUAAGAGCUUGCUCUUACGGGUGGCGAGUGGCGGACGGGUGAGGAAUACAUCGGAAUCUACUUUUUCGUGGGGGAUAACGUAGGGGAACUUACGCUAAUACCGCAUACGACCUACGGGGGAAAGCAGGGGAUCUUCGGACCUUGCGCGGUUGAAUGAGCCGAUGUCGGAUUAGCUAGUUGGCGGGGUAAAGGCCCACCAAGGCGACGAUCCGUAGCUGGUCUGAGAGGAUGAUCAGCCACACUGGAACUGAGACACGGUCCAGACUCCUACGGGAGGCAGCAGUGGGGAAUAUUGGACAAUGGGCGCAAGCCUGAUCCAGCCAUACCGCGUGUGUGAAGAAGGCCUUCGGGUUGUAAAGCCCUUUUGUUGGGAAAGAAAAGCAGUAGGUUAAUACCCCGCUGUUCUGACGGUACCCAAAGAAUAAGCACCGGCUAACUUCGUG
rnacentral:rRNA from 1 species